UAAGUCUGUGUGGAAGUUGAGGCAUUGAUUGGUUAGGUCAUAUAAACCAUCCCUUUGAGGCAAGACUUAUACAUCAAUUUUAUGGCCACUGCACUGGGGCAUCAGAGUCGGAUGCUCAGGACAGUUCAUAAGGGUUUAGCCUGAUUGAAGUUGCUUGGUUUUUUAAUGGCUCACCACUUCUGAACUGGUCUGAUAAUUAUCUCCUUGUGGAGUGAACUUUUGCUGUCGCUCAUCUCAAGGAUUAUUUUUGGAAAGAACGUAGACAGUGGCAAUAUUUCUUAUUGGAGUUAAAAAGGGAUAGAGGGUCAAAGCUAGAGGAGUGAGUCAGGAUAGAGGAUUCUCUUAAUGUUCCAUUAUGGGGAUCAACACCCUUUGGUUAAUGAACAGAUGAAGGGGUGGUCAACAAGGUUCACAAUUUCUUUUGUUCCAACAGCCAUGCUUCCCAAAAACAUGGGCUACUAUUUAUGUCUUUAUAACUUGGAGGUUAUAAUAGCUUCUGAAAGACUAGUAACAAUAGUAUAUACUAUAUCCUACAUAAGGAAGCUCAGGCAGAAUAACUCACAAUGUUGUAAGCAUAUCACAAGCAUUGUUUGCAAGAAAUUCAUUAAAAGGAGCACCAGCCACAGCACUGGAGUUUUAUUAGAGGCUAAGAGUAAGGCAGCAAAGGCAUGGUCAAUACCAAAGACAUCACAACCAGAAGCGCAAUGAAGCAAGACAUAUAAAACUAACCUGGAGGGUAAGACAGUAACAUUUCCAUACUCAGUGAAGGUGCAAAGUAGGAUGAGGAGCAUUGAUAAAUAUACCGUAUCAGGUAAAAGGGAGUUGGCUGUGCAUAUGGGGUUGAACCAUUCUGCUUUUUGCACCAAGAUGAGUCCUUGCAUAGUUAAAGACUAUUUUAUGAUGAAUGUGUUUGUACAAAAACUUUUACUGUCAAAACAUACUUUUCAUGAUAGUAAUGUUCAUAUCCUUUACUGUACGAUAUUAGUAUUGGCAAACCUCAGUAAUAACAAUACAUUUUAGUUGAGACUGAUGGUCAAUGUGAGAAAUAUAUGUUGUUUUGUACAAGAAAAAAUAAAUCAAGCAGCUUUAUCCUUUCAAAGGCUGAGUAGUUUGUUUAUUGUACUAUACUCACUGAGACUAUUUCUUUGCAUAAACAUAUUUUCAGUGACUCCAGUGUUUAUUUUAAAAUUUUUGAGAAUUUUAUUUCCACAGCUGACACGAGGAGGGGAACCAGUCUCACCAUUAUGUAUACAGGGUAAUGGUAAACUACCUUACGAACGCAUUCUACUAGCAAGGAAACGGGGUUUAAAUGGCUGUUGCGGAAAUUUACAUGAUGGUAGAGUUAUUUGCAGUGUACCAAGUGGUCUGCAUUCUCACAAGCCACCUCUUACAGAGAUUUUAAAGGACUGCAUAACACCUCAGGCAAGAUGUAUGGAGAUAUUUGCAAGAUAUCUUACUCCUGGAUGGACAAGUUAUGGUCUUGAAGUUUUGAAACUCCAACAUUCAUUUUUGUUUUAGGAAUAAAGUCUUAGAACCCCCUGCCAAGAUAGUGUUAAUCUUUGACAAAUAAUACUGUUAUUUAGAUACUGGCUAGUAUUUCUGUUAAAACAGAAUCUUGCUAUUGAAUUGAAAUGUGAAUACAGUAAAAGCACAAGUUCAAGGGAUGAGUAUUUAUACAUAAUUUUGAGAAAUCACAUCUUUCCACUUCAGUUUGGUCAAUGACUAGUUUGUUACAUAAACUGCCUAGAAAAAGGCUUAGUAGCACAGGUAGUAUUAUCCCCACUGAAAAGUUGACUUAACCUUUUGAAAAUAUCUGAGAAAUUUAUAAGUUCCUGGAACCUUUAGUUUUAUGGUAUUUAAACUUUUAAAUAUGACAAAUAUUUUAAUCCUUUUUUCAUUUUUCAUACCUAGCAAACGCUCAGUCUUAACAUAGGAUAAUCUUCUUGUGCCAGCAGGAAACUGGUUAAAAACAAUCAAAGAUUGUAAAGCAAGGAUUCUGUGGCAUCUGUCAACUCAUGCGUAUGCAAGGUGAAGCUGGUCACCCACCAGCCAUAGAACCUCGUGACAUGCGAGUCUUUCUUUGACCGCCUUGGAGAGUAGUCGCUUAUGCUCUUCUCCCAAGCUGGUUCAGGACACUUUUAAACAUAAAGAUGGGGACAAAUGAAAGGCUUUUCACCUAAAAAACUUUAAUUCUCUUUCAUACACCUUAAUUUUCACGUCAUUAUACUAAGAAGUGGAAUGACAAAUAAUACUCACAAAAUAAUUCAACAUAGCAAUCUGACCAUGUAAGAGGUUAUUGAAUGUAACUACAUUUACUAGGAGACAAUGUACAAAAUACAUUUUUGAACUGGAACUCCUGAAGUAUUUAUCAAAAUCUUUGAAAACACACAAUCCACUGAGUUUGGGAAGUGAACAUUAGCAUUUUUCACACUGCCUUGUACAAUAUCACACAAAUUCAUACACUUGUUACUUACUUCAUGUUGCUAUCUACAGUACUGGUUCUUUGUAUGUAUUUUAGUACAAAUACAGGAAAAAUAGUGAGAAAUUCUGAAAUGCUUUCCAGUACAGGAAAAAUAGUGAGAAAUUCUGAAAUGCUUUCCAGUAAAUACAGUGGAAGGCUUAUAGGAUUAUUGUAAUUAAAUGUAGAAUUAAGUGUAUACAAAGUAACCAAGGUGUAUCCCGAGCUUUCAACAAAAAAACAUAUCGAGCAGCACAAGAAUUGAAAUUCUUAUAACUCUAUGUUCACAGAAAAACAAUGAAAUGAAAAUGGUUCCUUGAAAUGAGGUCAAAAUCUAAGGCUUGAAUUAAUCAUGAAAAUAUAUAAAUUUCAGCAUCAAGGUGAAAAGUCACACAGGUAAAUGUUUGAACACUGGAUAAGAUGACAAGAUAAUCAUUAAAACAUUUACACACCACAUUCGGUUUGACUUAAUAAAUUCACUGCAACUUUCAUUAUCCAUACUUCUCACAUGUUCAUGUAAAUACCAUUGUACGUUUGAGAAAACUUGCAUCUUUGUCUAUGAAAAUAUCUGCAGUGCAUCAAAAGAUUUUUACUUCAACUGUCUUUCCAUUAUGAAAAAAUACUCACAAUGAAGCUCUACAUGUAAGUGAAGUUAAACCUGUAAAGAAAAAAUACUUGUUAAUAUUUUAUUUUAAAAAUUAAAUGUUUGCAGAAAUAU